CAAAACUGUUACACGGGAAUAAACAGCAAAAGAAAUACAAUUCCGAAUGACUGUAUAUGAGUGUAUGCUUCCAAUGUUAUUGUCUUUCUGGAUUGCAUUUAUCAUCACAGUAAUGGAUAAAAGCAACGUUUGGAUUAUCAAAAGGCCGUUUUAACAGUCAACACUGAAACCCAACCGGAGCCGCAUUAUGUAAAGCAGGAUGUUGUUCAGGCUGUUUUGACAAUCCAUACCGAGUCCCAGCCAGAAUUCGUACACCAUACCCAACUGGUCUUCCUUAAUUGAAAGAGGAGGUGGACCAAAACCUGCACAACUAUCAAUUUUUACUGAAGCAGUAGUUGAUAUUUGGGGGAAGAAAAUCCCAAACAUUAUCAGGAAUUGCCCUGUCUGAAGACAUGGAUUCAUCCAUUCUCUUGUUAAAACAACAAAGAGUGUGUGCAGUCCUCAGCAACCGGGAAAAGAGUGCAGUCCUCAGCCACCGGGAAAAGAGAGUCUGGGAGAUUCACCAGGAGGGAGUGAAAGGUAUUGCCAUCCUAAAAUGAUGGAAACAUGUGUAAAUUCAAUUUAUUUUCUAGAAUUAUGCCUUAAACCAUUACCUAACAAUAUCAAGAUUUUAAAAGUUCUUGCAAAACUCUAGACAUAAUUGUU